UCAAUUAAUUUGCAGUCAUUAUUUAAUUAUUUCCUUAUGUUUAUAAGUGUUUUGUAUUUUACUUUGAAAAACCUGAAGUUUAUUUUGAAGACCGGAAGUAGUAGGCCGCGCUAGUGAAGCAGUUUAACCUCACUAAUGCACAGACGGAGCACGCCACUUCACUUCCGCGUGAGAGAGAAAAACGGGAAAAAAGAGAGAGGAAAAACCGUCGUUGAAGCACUUUCCGGCCGCGUUUCUCCUGAAAAAACCAUUGGUCAGGUUCUAUUGUGAUGCUUGGAAAGAGUGAAGCUUCAGCUUUCAUGUCUGACGAAGCUGAUGAGCGAUCCAACUGAUGGCGAGCUCCCAGUCCACCUUCGGUGCUUCAAGCAGAACUUUUAAUUCCGCCACACCACUUAACGGAUUAAGUGGUAGGAUUUGUGUCAGUCCAACUGACCGGC